AAAAACCUUACCUAGUUGAUGUCAACGCCCACUACCGAUAGGUACCCAGCCUGCCAUCCAGACGUAGGUCGCGUCCCACGCUCGCCAGAUAUGAGAUGGUGCCUUAUAUCUAUCGUUACUCAGUCUGCCAUAAUUAUACCAUCCUGUACCACAACCUCGAGACGGAAGCAUUUUUGGCUGACGAAAUAUUUUUAUUAUUUAAUUAGAUGAACCGGUGAACUUUGAAUCACCCGCAAACUACAAUUGUGAAGGGUGAAAUGUGGGUCCCCUGCUUGCAACCAGGCAUCCACUUUUCGCUUGUGUGUUUCUCGCCAUGAUGCGAGAAUUGGCGAGCCUAUUGUGACAUCGGACACAAAUUUCAAACUCCGGCACGAUACUAAGUAGAAAAGCACAAAAACAGUGCCCGAUCCAGGAUUCGAACCCAGAUCUCAAAACCAUGGUCAUACCGCGACCAAGAUACCGAGGCAGUCUACAAAGGCACGUCUGAGGAAACGUUAUACAAAUUUAAUUGGAAGGUAAAAUUUUUAUAAUGAUUUCUUACGUUUAAGCGAAUGCUAAUUACUGAAAUAAGACUAUUUUCCGGAUUUUAUCGCGGUUUUUAGAGUUCCGUACGUCGAAAGGAAAGAACGGAACCCUUAUAGGAUCCCUUUGUUGUCCGUCCGUUCGUCUGUCAAGACUCUUUCCUCACGAACGCGUAGACAUCAAGUUGAAACUCAUAUCAAAUAGGUCUAAUUGCCUUUAAUUUUGCAAUAAAAAUACCAUAAUUACUAUGACUCGACUGUCGUGAUGGGUGAACUUUUACUUAAAUAUAUACCUACAAAUUUGUACGAAACACUGCGUGCGCGAGUCCGACUCGCACUUGGCCGGUUUUUUUGUAUUAUAUUUUGUCCCAACUUUCAAAGACUGAAGCUUUUAUGGUCACGGGGGUGUCGCCGUGUUAUAGUUAUAAAAACCGGGAUAAAAUCCGGAAAAUAGCUUUAUUUCAAUAUAUAUUUUUUUUUAAUGUUAAGUGUUCCGUUUGAUGCCUGUAGUCGAUUAUAAGAGAAUUGUUUGUUAUCUUUUGAUGGCUUGUAAAAGAAUAUGAUCUACUGUAGGACUAGUUAAUAAGAUGGCUUAUGAAAUAAAAUUUUGGUAUCCAUGGCCGUAGCGAAGGGUUAAGCUACCGCCCGGGUUUUACAUAACUAUAUACUAUAAUUAUAUGUAAGUACUUGUGUAAUCAUCUGAGAGGUUCUCCAUAGGAAUUUGGAAUGUGUGUGAAGUCUACCAAUCCGCACUAGGCCAGCGUAGUGGACUAAGGCCUAAUCCCUCUCACUAGUAGAGGAGGCCCGUGCUCAGCAGUGGUCAAGUAUAUAAUACAGGGCUGAUAUUAUUAUACUUGUGUAAUGUUGAAUUAUUGGGACUACCGAUAUGAAAUAUUCGCUUUGCUCACUGGAUGAAAAUUUAAGAUUAGAACUCCCCGAAUUAAACGCUCACUACGUCCAUAGGUAUCUCCUUUGAAAGCAUUAGUUAAAUGUAAUAAUAAUUACGUUUUUAGAAGUUUGGAUAACUUGCCACUAGAUUAUUUUUUUUAUUAUUUACUAGCUGUGCCAGUGUGUUUUGACUGUGGACUACGAUCUAUCUCUGUUUGUCUCAUACCCGUCUUGAUACACAUGGGACACACAUAGCCUGUUACCCAAGUGUGACCGUUUAUUCCCGAGUUAUUUUAUAUGUUACACAAAACAUUUUUUUUUCAUUACCGUAUUAGAUUUUGAAUUCAAUAAAUGCAUCACACAUAACAGCUAUUAUGUGGAUGUAUAUAAUGGCAUAAUAUAUUUUUAUGCGUUUUAAUAUAUCUUUCCAUAGAAAUUAUUAGGUGACCGCAGACAACAGCUAUAAUAAUGUAUAUUUUACUUUUUCAUAUUAUUAUAAAUUAGAUACAGAGGGAAAUGGAAAUUAUCCCGAUCUUAGUAGCUGGAAAGUAUGUAAAUUGAGAAGAGAACAAUAGACCAAAGGGAAAGAUAUAAUUUAAAGCUAUAAAUAGCUCAAUAAUUUUUUGUAUGGACUUUUCCAAAUAGCCAAAUAUUUUAUGGUUUAUGUGAAAAUAUGUACAUUCAGACUUUUAUUCUAGGAAAAGACUUCUUCAUUAGUGGCACUCCUAGAAGCUUUGAUUAUAAUGAAAUAGGAUCACAUUCCUAUGAAAAUAAAAACAACAGUUAAAAUACUAACAAUAUAUUAUGAUUGUUUUCUAAGACUAUUAAUAUACAAGUCCAUGAUAUGAUUGUUACAUUGUUUUAGCUCGACAAUAUCAAGUAAUGCUUCAUUCUUAAAUUUAUUUCUUACAUUAAUGCACCUUUUAAACUUGGCCACUAGAACUGAAUUGCUUUGGUUAAUUAAACAAAAAUUAUAAAACAACUUUUGUUCAAACGGUGCACUUUUCACAAUUCCAUUUUUAAAGUAUCUGUAAAAUAGUUGUUGUUGAUAUCCACAUAAACAUUCAACUU
rnacentral:lncRNA from 1 species